GUGGUACAGGAACAAGKGCUGGGCAAGACCGGUGCCAGCCGCCGCGGUAAUACCGGCAGCACGAGUGAUGGCCGAUCUUAUUGGGCCUAAAGCGUCCGUAGCCGGCCGARCAAGUUCGUCGGGAAAUCYGCCCGCUUAACGGGCRGGCGUCCGGCGRAAACUGUUCGGCUUGGGGCCGGAAGACCCGAGGGGUACGUCCGGGGUAGGAGUGAAAUCCCGUAAUCCUGGACGGACCACCGGUGGCGAAAGCGCCUCGGGAARACGGACCCGACGGUGAGGGACGAAAGCUAGGGUCUCGAACCGGAUUAGAUACCCGGGUAGUCCUAGCCGUAAACGAUGCUCGCUAGGUGUGGCGCAGGCUACGAGCCUGCGCUGUGCCGUAGGGAAGCCGUGAAGCGAGCCGCCUGGGAAGUAC
rnacentral:rRNA from 1 species